UUAAGUCAGAUGUGAAAGCCCGGGGCUCAACCUCGGAACCGCAUUUGAAACUGGCAGGCUAGAGUCUUGUAGAGGGGGGUAGAAUUUCAGGUGUAGCGGUGAAAUGCGUAGAGAUCUGAAGGAAUACCAGUGGCGAAGGCGGCCCCCUGGACAAAGACUGACGCUCAGAUGCGAAAGCGUGGGUAGCAAACAGGAUUAGAUACCCUGGUAGUCCACGCCGUAAACGCUGUCUACUUGGAGGUUGAGGUUUAGACUUUGGCUUUCGGCGCUAACGCAUUAAGUAGACCGCCUGGGGAGUACGGCCGCAAGGUUAAAACUCAAAUGAAUUGACGGGGGCCCGCACAAGCGGUGGAGCAUGUGGUUUAAUUCGAUGCAACGCGAAGAACCUUACCUACUCUUGACAUCCAGCGAAGCCUUUAGAGAUAGAGGCGUGCCUUCGGGAGCGCUGAGACAGGUGCUGCAUGGCUGUCGUCAGCUCGUGUUGUGAAAUGUUGGGUUAAGUCCCGCAACGAGCGCAACCCUUAUCCUUGUUUGCCAGCACGUAAUGGUGGGAACUCCAGGGAGACUGCCGGUGAUAAACCGGAGGAAGGUGGGGACGACGUCAAGUCAUCAUGGCCCUUACGAGUAGGGCUACACACGUGCUACAAUGGCAGAUACAGAGGGCAGCGAAGCUGCGAAGUGGAGCGAAUCCCUUAAAGUCUGUCGUAGUCCGGAUUGGAGUCUGCAACUCGACUCCAUGAAGUCGGAAUCGCUAGUAAUCGUGGAUCAGAAUGCCACGGUGAAUACGUUCCCGGGCCUUGUACACACCGCCCGUCACACCAUGGGAGUGGGCUGCACCAGAAGUAGAUAGCUUAACCUUCGGGAGGGCGUUUACCACGGUGUGGUUCAUGACUGGGGUGAAGUCGUAACAA
rnacentral:rRNA from 1 species